AUGGCUAAGGCAAAACCAACAAAGGCUGAAACAAACGGGAAGGAAGAGGACUUUACGCCCGGGAAGCAGAAGCAGACCCUUCGCAAGAAAUUUGAAUGCCCAUAUGCACUUGACAAGCCGAGCAGGCGUGCCACCCGUGGUACUCGACCAUCCGGUACUACUACCGUGAGUAGAGCUUUGUUUAAUGAGAACAAAGUGCCGGAGGUUGUGGCAGAUGAGUUAACGCCAGAACUAAUUGAUGCAGCUGUUUCAUUUGUGGAACUAACUUGCAAGAGCAAGAAGAACAUGAAAAAAAGAGUUUACUACAAUGCUAGUGGUAAUGCUCUGAGGUCUGAAAGGCUUCAACCGGUACUACAACAUAGAUGGCUGUCGGAUGAUGUAAGUGAGGGAGUCCUGGAUUAG
rnacentral:rRNA from 1 species